rnacentral:rRNA from 1 species
GGAAGGUGGGGGAGUGACGUCAAAUCAUCAUGCCCCUUAUGACCUGGGCUACACACGUGCUACAAUGGUUGGUACAACGAGUUGCGAGUCGGUGACGGCGAGCUAAUCUCUUAAAGCCAAUCUCAGUUCGGAUUGUAGGCUGCAACUCGCCUACAUGAAGUCGGAAUCGCUAGUAAUCGCGGAUCAGCACGCCGCGGUGAAUACGUUCCCGGGCCUU